rnacentral:snRNA from 1 species
AUACUUACCUGGUAGGGGAGAUACCAUGAUCAUGAAUGGCGAGGCUUAUCCAUUGCACUCCGGAUGUGCUGACCCAAAUGUGGGAAACUUACUUCAUAAUUUGUGGUAGUGAGGGAGUGCUCGUGCUUUUCCCUGC